rnacentral:rRNA from 1 species
AUUGAACGCUGGCGGAAUGCUUUACACAUGCAAGUCGAACGGUAGAGGGGGCAACCCCUUGAGAGUGGCGAACGGGUGAGUAAUAUAUCGGAACGUGCCCAGUCGUGGGGAUAACGUAGCGAAAGUUACGCUAAUACCGCAUACGAUCUAAGGAUGAAAGCGGGGGAUCGCAAGACCUCGCGCGAUUGGAGCGGCCGAUAUCAGAUUAGGUAGUUGGUGAGGUAAAGGCUCACCAAGCCAACGAUCUGUAGCUGGUCUGAGAGGACGACCAGCCACACUGGAACUGAGACACGGUCCAGACUCCUACGGGAGGCAGCAGUGGGGAAUUUUGGACAAUGGACGCAAGUCUGAUCCAGCCAUUCCGCGUGCAGGAUGAAGGCCCUCGGGUUGUAAACUGCUUUUGUACGGAACGAAAAGGUUUCUAUUAAUACUAGGAGCUCAUGACGGUACCGUAAGAAUAAGCACCGGCUAACUACGUGCCAGCAGCCGCGGU